rnacentral:rRNA from 1 species
UUCCACAUGAUCGCAUGUGAUUGUGGGAAAGAUUCUAUCGGCGUGGGAUGGGGUCGCGUCCUAUCAGCUUGUUGGUGAGGUAACGGCUCACCAAGGCGUCGACGGGUAGCCGGCCUGAGAGGGCGACCGGCCACAUUGGGACUGAGAUACGGCCCAGACUCCUACGGGAGGCAGCAGUGGGGAAUAUUGCACAAUGGGCGCAAGCCUGAUGCAGCGACGCCGCGUGAGGGAUGGAGGCCUUCGGGUUGUAAACCUCUUUUGUUUGGGAGCAAGCCUUCGGGUGAGUGUACCUUUCGAAUAAGCGCCGGCUAACUACGUGCCAGCAGCCGCGGUAAUACGUAGGGCGCAAGCGUUAUCCGGAUUUAUUGGGCGUAAAGGGCUCGUAGGCGGCUCGUCGCGUCCGGUGUGAAAGUCCAUCGCUUAAC